CAGUCGCCGCGGUAAGACAGAGGAUGCAAGCGUUAUCCGGAAUGAUUGGGUGUAAAGCGUCUGUAGGUGGCUUUUCAAGUCCGCUGUCAAAUCCCAGGGCUCAACCCUGGACAGGCGGUGGAAACAACCAAGCUGGAGUACGGUAGGGGCAGAGGGAAUUUCCAGUGGAGCGGUGAAAUGCGUUGAGAUCGGAAAGAACACUAACGGCGAAAGCACUCUGCUGGGCCGACACUGACACUGAGAGACGAAAGCUAGGGGAGCAAAUGGGAUUAGAUACCCCUGUAGUCCCUGUCUCUUAUAC
rnacentral:rRNA from 1 species